rnacentral:siRNA from 1 species
AACUUCGCGUUCCUGACCAGCCU